GCAAAACAUCCAAAGAUUACAUAUGCAGACCUUUAUCAGGGUAGGCCAUGGAAAUCCUUCUCCAUGAGUUGGGAGGCCAUUGAAAGGGGGCAUGAAAGCGGCUAGUGGAUUUUCUUGGUUAGCAUAGGUGGCUAUUCAUGUCAGGCCUAGCUGAAGAAUUCGAAAUUUUUUUCUGUUCUAAUAUUGGGUUAUUUCUCCUAUUUUGUAAAUGUUUUAAUGGACUAGAAGGUUCUUUAAUGGGUUUGAGUUUGGUGAGGUAGUAGAAAAUAGGCCUGGGAUUUUCAGUAGAUUGGUAGACUUUCUGUUAACCAAAUUCUAUUUAUCUCUUGAGGCUCAAAUAUAGAAAUGGAGCUUUCUAUAAUUUUUUAGGCUCAAGUAUAGAGAUGGAGCUUUCUGUAGUGGUAUCUUAUAAUGACUAUUUCUGUAAUGGAUGUACUAGCUUAAUUGUUCAAGUAUGGUGAAAUAUCAAUUUUUUUUUCUUUUA